GUACUGUCAUCAUAAAUGCCAGUUGUUUACUGUUACUGCACGUGCACACACACACACACACACACACAUGUUGCCACACCUACAGCAGAUAAAAACCACAUAUUUCAAGAACUUUGCUAUAGGCUUAACAUGGACACGAAUGUCACAGAAUGCACUGAGUAGCAACUAACAAUACAUACUGUAUCAACUAAAUCCAGCACCAGAACACCUCACACCUAACAGCUAAUCACAAAAUAAAACACAACUGGUUGCCGAAAAUAGGCCGAUAAAAUCAGAUGUUUAUACUGCUGUGUUUUCUACUAGUACUUUUCUGUUAGUACUUUCGAUAUUUCAGUAAACCAAUGAGAAAUCAGUUUCCUACAGGUGACAACAAUAGCCAUCUAAUAAUAUUUUACCAGAUUUACUUUAGUUUUUAAAUUUGUUACAUUCCAGAAAAAUCAGAAAAGUUAGCUGGACAUGCUAUCAGAACGUACUAUAAAGCUCGGAUUGAAGAUAAGCAGUAAUUUUACAGGUAAUAUCAUUAAUAUAAACCUGUCAUUAGAAUUACAGCCAGUGCUACUGUCAGAGCCGCUGUAAUAGAAAUUAAUCAACACGUUCUGACCAAUCAGAUUAGAGAAUUUAGCAGUGUUGUGGUAUAAACACUAUCUCCUUCUUCCUCUUUCUGUUGUCUCCUCACACUUCUCACUUGCCAAAACAACUUUCUGUUGGACUAAAUAUCCUAUUCCAUUGAGAGUUUCCAGGGUACUGGAGUUCUGCACAAAACUUUUGUGUUCAGUUUCCUUUGAGUCAUCGGCGGUCUAGCACAUCUUAAGAAGCUGAAGAGAGAACAAGCCAUGUCCUUUCACCACUGCUUCAGGUCUGACUUACUGGUGUGGGUCUAUGCCGACACCAAAAUCAUUCGCCUGUCCAUCUUCCUCAUCACUGGUGUGUGUGCGGGUUUUCCAGCUCUGCUUUGGGCUCUCAGUGUUCUGUACCAUCAUCGUAAGAGUGGAGGUCGAAUCUCAGCGUAUGCCAUAUCCCUCCUCCUCCUCAGUGACCUGCUGGAGCUGAUUCUGAAUUCAGUCAUUUUGGCAUACCUGGUCAAAGAACACUCUGCACCUUGUAUAUUUUUUAGACUUUUGUAUGGAGCCAGGCUCUGUGGGCAUUAUUUUCACCAGCUGUUGGUGGGAGAGAGCAUUCUUCCUCAGAAAUAUCCAUCACUUGCUGUUAUUUUCUCCCCAACCUGCUCUAGUGUCCUCUGCGUCUUUGUGUGGAUAUUAGCAAUAUCGUGCCAGGUCAUCCCAAAUUACCCUAUUCAUGAACUAAAUAUGUGUUUAUGUGUGUUACCUGUAAUUCUGUGUGCAAUCACAUAUUUACUGACUUGCAAAGCCUAUUCUGACACCAACAAGACCACAGACAGAAAACCAGGCAUGUUAGUGAUAAGUGUUGCCUUGUUUACACUAAUCAUUUUGCAUGUGCCAUAUUUAAUGACUUUUUUUAUUGGCUUUCCUUUAAUAUUGGACUAUCUAGCGAGCAUGAGAUUGAUUUCAGAGCCUCUCCUGUGUGUUCUCAUCUGCAAGGAGAAUCGUAUGGUUGAAACAGCACACACACAAACAGAUCACACACAAUAACUCAGAAGCUUUGUUUAGCUAACUAUUUUUGCAGCACAGGUAAUUAUUUUACUUUGUUGUUAUUUGUCUAUAGGUUUAUAUAUGUGUCAUUGUCGCCUCUUAUAUUUGACAAGGCUGUCCUUCAUCUUAUGUUUCCAGGUUUGAUUUCCUUGACAGUAUAUUUUGGUUCUUUGGUAGUUCUAUUAAUUGUGUUUAUAGUGGAUUGAUGUCUGUCCUCCAGUUGAUUGAGCAAUGAAUGUUGUAGGCCUUUGUUAUAUUCUGGCUCAGUGUGAUUUUUUUUUACUGCAUAUUGACUAACUGUAUUAUCCAAAAUAUAUAACUUUA